rnacentral:rRNA from 1 species
GAUGAACGCUGGCGGCGUGCCUAAUACAUGCAAGUCGUACGAACAGCGGAAAGUGCUUGCACUUUCCAAGUAAGUGGCGAACGGGUGAGUAACACGUGAAUAACCUACCUCAAAGUCUGGGAUAACCAUUGGAAACAGUGACUAAUACCGGAUAAAACCCAAGUGCACAUGCACUAAGGUUAAAAGCUGCGUUUGCAGCGCUUUAAGAUGGAUUCGCGGUGCAUUAGUUAGUUGGUGAGGUAAAGGCUCACCAAGACGAUGAUGCAUAGCCGGGUUGAGAGACUGACCGGCCACAUUGGGACUGAGACACGGCCCAAACUCCUACGGGAGGCUGCAGUAGGGAAUCUUCCACAAUGGGCGCAAGCCUGAUGGAGCAACGCCGCGUGUGUGAUGAAGGCUUUCGGGUCGUAAAGCACUGUUGUAUGGGAAGAACGGGUUUAAGAGGAAAUGCUUAAACAGUGACGGUACCAUACCAGAAAGGGACGGCUAAAUACGUGC